AUACCCUAAGGACCCCUUGAGUCCUUAUAUCCCACCCCCCUCCUUCUACUGACCUUCCUACAUUUUGUGAAAUGCCUAUGGAAUCCCUGCCUAGGCAGGCAUGGCCGCUCAUUCCAAUGCGGUACAGGCUUGCACAACAGCAGAGGCUGCCUACCGCUUUAGGCCGGUACACCUAUUUGAAAUUUUGAGAAAACGCUGUGGGCGUCGGUCACAAUAUGGCUGCCAUGGGGCUUAGGUAUGAACACAAAAUGGCCGCCACACCUGAAAGAGCAGAUAAGAGACAGGAACACAAAAUGUAUCUGAAGGUGGUGUAAACAUUUCUCAGCUUUAUUGCUCCAACAUGGGUGUUCUCCUUAGGAAUUACACAAUCUUAAAAAUAUACUUAUAUAGUUUAAUAAUAAUAAUAA